rfam:TPA: Bos taurus chromosome 3, whole genome shotgun sequence.
UCCCUGGUGGUCCAGUGGUUAGGAUUCGGUGCUUUCAUUGCCAAGGGCCGGGGUUCAAUCCCUGGUCAGGAAA